AGAGUUUGAUCCUGGCUCAGGAUGAACGCUGGCGGUCUGCUUAACACAUGCAAGUCGAACGGAAUCCGAAAGGAUUUAGUGGCGGACGGGUGAGUAACGCGUGAGAAUCUGCCUUCAGGUUGGGGACAACAGCUGGAAACGGCUGCUAAGACCCGAUGUGCCGAGAGGUGAAAGGUUUACUGCCUGAAGAUGAGCUCGCGUCCGAUUAGCUAGUUGGUGGGGUAAGAGCCUACCAAGGCGUCGAUCGGUAACUGGUCUGAGAGGACGACCAGUCACACUGGGACUGAGACACGGCCCAGACUCCUACGGGAGGCAGCAGUGGGGAAUUUUCCGCAAUGGGCGAAAGCCUGACGGAGCAAGACCGCGUGAGGGACGAAGGCUCUUGGGUUGUAAACCUCUUUUCUCAGGGAAGAAACCUGACGGUACCUGAGGAAUAAGCAUCGGCUAACUCCGUGCCAGCAGCCGCGGUAAUACGGAGGAUGCAAGCGUUAUCCGGAAUUAUUGGGCGUAAAGCGUUCGCAGGUGGCUGUUCAAGUCUGCUGUCAAAGACUGGGGCUUAACCCUGGAAAGGCAGUGGAAACUGAGCGGCUAGAGUGCAGUAUGGGUAGAGGGAAUUCCCAGUGUAGCGGUGAAAUGCGUAGAGAUUGGGAAGAACACCGGUGGCGAAAGCGCUCUGCUGGACUGUAACUGACACUGAGGGACGAAAGCUAGGGGAGCGAAAGGGAUUAGAUACCCCUGUAGUCCUAGCCGUAAACGAUGGAUACUAGGCGUUGCCGGGCUCGACCCUGGCAGUGUCGGAGCUAACGCGUUAAGUAUCCCGCCUGGGAAGUACGCACGCAAGUGUGAAACUCAAAGGAAUUGACGGGGGCCCGCACAAGCGGUGGAGUAUGUGGUUUAAUUCGAUGCAACGCGAAGAACCUUACCAGGGCUUGACAUGUCGCGAAUCCCGGUGAAAGCUGGGAGUGCCUUCGGGAGCGCGAACACAGGUGGUGCAUGGCUGUCGUCAGCUCGUGUCGUGAGGUGUUGGGUUAAGUCCCGCAACGAGCGCAACCCUCGUUUUCAGUUGCCAUCAUUAAGUUGGGAACUCUGAAGAGACUGCCGGUGACAAACCGGAGGAAGGUGGGGAUGACGUCAAGUCAGCAUGCCCCUUACGUCCUGGGCAACACACGUACUACAAUGCUGCGGACAGAGGGUAGCAAGCCGGCGACGGCAAGCCAAUCCCGUAAACCGUGGCUCAGUUCAGAUCGAAGCUUGCAACUCAGCUUCGUGAAGGCGGAAUCGCUAGUAAUCGCAGGUCAGCAUACUGCGGUGAAUACGUUCCCGGGCCUUGUACACACCGCCCGUCACACCAUGGGAGCUGGUUUAGCCCGAAGUCGUUACUCUAACCCUUGGGAGGAGGACGCCGAAGGCUGGGCUGGUGACUGGGGUGAAGUCGUAACAAGGUAGCCGU
rnacentral:rRNA from 1 species